rnacentral:snoRNA from 1 species
GUUGUCAGUGAUGUUUACCAAAGUAAAUAUUCGAGUUUAACGACCAUGAGAAUACUUUACAUGCACUACCAUCUGAGACAUA